GACGUAGGGCGCGAGCGUUGUCCGGAUUUAUUGGGCGUAAAGAGCUCGUAGGCGGUCUGUCGCGUCUGCUGUGAAAACUCGGGGCUUAACCCCGGGCCUGCAGUGGGUACGGGCAGACUAGAGUGCGGUAGGGGAGACUGGAAUUCCUGGUGUAGCGGUGAAAUGCGCAGAUAUCAGGAGGAACACCGGUGGCGAAGGCGGUUCUCUGGGCAUGAUCUGACGCUGAGGAGCGAAAGUGUGGGGAGCGAACAGG
rnacentral:rRNA from 1 species